UCUGCUAUCCCCGAUAUUUUGCAGACAUAACUAAUUACAAAUAUUUACAGUCAAUAUUUUUGGUUCCCUAAAUUACGAUUUUUUUCAUAUACUAUAAGAUAAAUGGCUGAAUCAGUCCGUUUGACAAACGAUGAUUUUCGUAAGCUAUUGGCUACUCCUCGUCAGCCACCACCAGGGAGUACACCUGCAAAUCCUACAACAGCUACAUCUUCGUCUAUAGAAAAGAAAAAGCUUCAAGGUUCAAGUAGUGAACGCAAUGAUUUGCGUAGAAAAAAGAAAAAUUUUUAUGCAGCACUUAAAAAACAAGAAGAUGGAAAGCUGCAACAACUAUCCGAAAAAUAUCGCGAUCGAGCCAGAGAACGCCGUGACGGGGCAAAUCCAGAUUAUCAAAACGUUAGCACGCCUGGUCAUAGUAGCACCAAUGCUUAUCGUGCUGUUGCCCCGGAUUUAAAAUCAGGCAUAGAUGCAGCUGAGCGGCGUCGUCGAAUUAUACAGGAAUCUAAAUUUUUAGGUGGUGAUAUGCGACACACGCAUUUGGUAAAAGGUCUCGAUUAUGCUCUUUUACAAAAAGUCCGUUCUGAAUUACAAACCAAAGAGGUGGAGGAACAAGCAUUGGCAGUUGCAGCAGCUACUGAAAAGUUAGCAGAAACCGCUGCAGCUGAACAGGCUGAAGCUGAAAGCAAAGAUGCUGAUGAUCAUAUGACUAUAAAAAGCGCAAUGGCACGAAAUAUUUUCAAUAUAAUUCAAGCUCGACGCUCUAAAGAAGUGUCUUGUAAUGAAUUGUUUGCUCCAGGUCGCAUGGCCUACGUUAUUGAUUUAGAAGAUGAUUUGGGAGAAACCGAUAUUCCAACGACAUUAAUACGGUCAAAAUUUGAAGUGCCUGUUAAUCGGGAAGAUAUCGCCACGCUUACUACAAAUGAUAUAGUUAUAAAUAAACUUUCACAAAUUCUCUCCUAUUUACGUGCUGGUGGCCGCAAUAAGAAAAACAAGAAGAGAGAUAAAGAUAAACCACUUUUCUAUGAAAAAGAAAUGGAACAAACAUUGAAUAUUACUGGAUUAAGUGAUGGUGGUGGUUUAACUGGUAAAGCUUUAGGUGACAACAUAUACGACGAUAUUGGAGAGUAUCAACCAAACUCCAAGAAAGAAGGUUUAAAAUUAGAUAGCAAUAACCCAAAAGGUGUGGCUGGAUCUUACUUCGCAGACGUAAAAGGAAACGAAGAUUCCGAACCGCUAGUAACUAAUAUACCACCACCGCCAAAGAUUACAAAGGCGAUAGCUUCGCGCUUUGCUAAUGAACCCGAAGGUUAUGCUGAGUGUUAUCCAGGAUUAGAAGAAAUGAAUGAUGCCAUUGAUGAUUCUGAUGAUGAAGUAGACUAUACGAAAAUGGAUUUGGGCAAUAAAAAGGGACCUAUUGGUAGAUGGGAUUUCGAUACACAAGAAGAAUAUUCCGAUUAUAUGAGCACAAAGGAGGCUUUACCAAAAGCUGCAUUUCAAUAUGGUGUCAAAAUGCAAGACGGUAGACGAACUCGAAAAAACAAAACCGAGAAGAGCGAAAAGGCAGAGUUGGAUCGCGAAUGGCAGAAAAUACAGAAUAUUAUACAAAAACGAAAAUUUCCUAAAGGAGGUGCAGAAGAACCCGAUUACAAAGCUGCUAAAUAUUAGUAGGCAAACAUUAAUGCAACAGAUCACAAAAUUAUAUAAAGAGUUAUACAGAAUAGUUUCACAUAUAUAUCCAGUUUCAUUAAUUUAUAAUAUCGACAACAACUUGGGCAUUCCCAACUAUUUGGUAGGUCUUCAUUUACUACUCCUUUAGCGUCUGCUGCAUCUUCGGUGCCGUCUAAUAACGACCUCGCGCAGUCAGAAUGCGCAAUUUCAUAACAGACCGAACACUCCAUUAGCGUCGAAGGUCCCUCGAGUGAAGCCAGUUGCUUAGUUUGCGGGGACACGGGUACUUGGCGCCAGCCGUCCAAAUGACACACGAAGCACUGUGCUGUCACCGGUAACAUGGGCGAGAGACACUGACGCAUCAUACAUGUUUGCUUAGCGCGUCCAGGUCCACCGAAUUUCACCAUAUCCAAACAGAAACUGCAUUCCCCACAGUCGGAACGCUGGCAAGCAGCGCAGACUUUACAGCGCGUUCGCCGUCGACGCGGUUGACCAGUACCGGUGACAUUUGGGGACAACUUUGAAUCGUUCGGCGAGAGACAAGAGUUUUCAGUAGUGUUAACGGCAUUUGUGUUAUGUGUAAGUGGCUGUGCAUGUGAAUUGUUUUGUGUUUGGUUGGAUACAGCAACCGUUGUUCCAGUUGAAAUGGUCGUUGUUGCCGUUGAAGCUGAAUUAUAACUUGAGCAAGAUGCGAUAACACUGACAGUGUUGUUGGCCUGAUGUGCUGCUGCAGCAACAGCAUUUGCGAGGUGCAUCUUCUUCGGAGGGCGAUACUUAAGACUAUCCGUGGGUGAAAUGAAUGUAGCUAGUAUAGAAAUAAAUAUAUUUGCAAGAUUAA